rnacentral:rRNA from 2 species
CUGCCCAGAAGCGGGGGACAACAUUUGGAAACAGAUGCUAAUACCGCAUAACAACGUUGUUCGCAUGAACAACGCUUAAAAGAUGGCUUCUCGCUAUCACUUCUGGAUGGACCUGCGGUGCAUUAGCUUGUUGGUGGGGUAACGGCCUACCAAGGCGAUGAUGCAUAGCCGAGUUGAGAGACUGAUCGGCCACAAUGGGACUGAGACACGGCCCAUACUCCUACGGGAGGCAGCAGUAGGGAAUCUUCCACAAUGGGCGCAAGCCUGAUGGAGCAACACCGCGUGAGUGAAGAAGGGUUUCGGCUCGUAAAGCUCUGUUGUUAAAGAAGAACACGUAUGAGAGUAACUGUUCAUACGUUGACGGUAUUUAACCAGAAAGUCACGGCUAACUACGUGCCAGCAGCCGCGGUAAUACGUAGGUGGCAAGCGUUAUCCGGAUUUAUUGGGCGUAAAGAGAGUGCAGGCGGUUUUCUAAGUCUGAUGUGAAAGCCUUCGGCUUAACCGGAGAAGUGCAUCGGAAACUGGAUAACUUGAGUGCAGAAGAGGGUAGUGGAACUCCAUGUGUAGCGGUGGAAUGCGUAGAUAUAUGGAAGAACACCAGUGGCGAAGGCGGCUACCUGGUCUGCAACUGACGCUGAGACUCGAAAGCAUGGGUAGCGAACAGGAUUAGAUACCCUGGUAGUCCAUGCCGUAAACGAUGAGUGCUAGGUGUUGGAGGGUUUCCGCCCUUCAGUGCCGGAGCUAACGCAUUAAGCACUCCGCCUGGGGAGUACGACCGCAAGGUUGAAACUCAAAGGAAUUGACGGGGGCCCGCACAAGCGGUGGAGCAUGUGGUUUAAUUCGAAGCUACGCGAAGAACCUUACCAGGUCUUGACAUCUUGCGCCAACCCUAGAGAUAGGGCGUUUCCUUCGGGAACGCAAUGACAGGUGGUGCAUGGUCGUCGUCAGCUCGUGUCGUGAGAUGUUGGGUUAAGUCCCGCAACGAGCGCAACCCUUGUUACUAGUUGCCAGCAUUAAGUUGGGCACUCUAGUGAGACUGCCGGUGACAAACCGGAGGAAGGUGGGGACGACGUCAGAUCAUCAUGCCCCUUAUGACCUGGGCUACACACGUGCUACAAUGGACGGUACAACGAG